GACAGAGGGUGCAAACGUUGUUCGGAAUUACUGGGCGUAAAGCGCGUGUAGGCGGCCCUGUAAGUCGGAUGUGAAAUCCCACGGCUCAACCGUGGAAGUGCAUUCGAAACUACAGGGCUAGAGUCCUGGAGAGGAAGGUGGAAUGCUUGGUGUAGAGGUGAAAUUCGUAGAUAUCAAGCGGAACACCGGUGGCGAAGGCGGCCUUCUGGACAGUGACUGACGCUGAGAGGCGAAAGCGUGGGGAGCAAACAGGGAUUAA
rnacentral:rRNA from 1 species